rnacentral:rRNA from 1 species
UGCCAGCAGCCGCGGUAAUACGGAGGGUGCGAGCGUUAAUCGGAAUUACUGGGCGUAAAGCGCAUGCAGGCGGUUGAUUAAGCGAGAUGUGAAAGCCCCGGGCUUAACCUGGGAACUGCAUUUCGAACUGGUCAACUAGAGUCUUGUAGAGGGGGGUAGAAUUUCAGGUGUAGCGGUGAAAUGCGUAGAGAUCUGAAGGAAUACCAGUGGCGAAGGCGACUUCCUGGACUAUUACUGACACUGAGGAGCGAAAGCGUGGGGAGCAAACAGGAUUAGAUA